GUUGAGAUGCUUGACGAGGUCCCCAGUUUUAUGUAAUCCCUCCUUUGAGAUGCUUGACGAGGUCCCCAGUCUUAUGUAAUCCCUCCGUUGAGAUGCUUGACGAGGUCCCCAGUCUUGUGUCUUGGAUACCUUGUAAAUAUGGGCCCAGAAGUACGCAGCCUAUCAAGAGAAUGAGUGAAGGGAUGUUGAAUAAAUCCAGUUACCAGUAUAUUCGGCCCUCCGUGGAAUGAGUUUGACACGUGGUGUCGAGAAACAUCUAAACCGCGGUGAAAUAUCCUUUCAAUAAACCACAAUUAUUUUAUUUUCAGUUGUUUUGAAGCUGGUGUACAAAACUGAAAUUAAAAGACGCAAAAACCAAACUUAUGCAUGGGAAACAUAGACAUAGCACGCAUAGAACAGAUCUACCACUAUUUAGACUCACUUUCAA
ensembl:lncRNA